rnacentral:sRNA from 1 species
CCAUAGCCCCGAUUGAAAUGGAAAUCCUUUUCGUGCAAUGGCAAUGGAGCGAAAAGAUUGUAAUGGAAAGCGGGAUUAAGC